AACGAACGCUGGCGGCGCGCCUAAUACAUGCAAGUCGAGCGAGAAGACGUAGCAAUACGUUUGUAAAGCGGCGAACGGGUGAGGAAUACAUGGGUAACCUACCCUCGAGUGGGGAAUAACUAGCCGAAAGGUUAGCUAAUACCGCGUACGCUCCUCGGACUUCGGUUCAGGGAGGAAAGCGAUACCGUGGGUAUCGCGCUCUUGGAUGGGCUCAUGUCCUAUCAGCUUGUUGGUGAGGUAACGGCUCACCAAGGCUUCGACGGGUAGCUGGUCUGAGAGGACGAUCAGCCACACUGGCACUGCGACACGGGCCAGACUCCUACGGGAGGCAGCAGUAAGGAAUAUUGCGCAAUGGGCGAAAGCCUGACGCAGCGACGCCGCGUGGGGGAUGAAGGUCUUC
rnacentral:rRNA from 1 species